UAUAAUAAAAUGCGGAAAUUUUUAUAAUAAACUCAAAUAUACCCCCAAAAUCUGGUUGUCACGUGUACAAGCCUCUAAAGUAUUACAAUUGAAUCAAAAGAAAAAUACAAGUCUCAUAUGACAUUGUUUCUAGAGUAGAACAAGAUCAUAAACAGGAGUAAGAAGGAUCGCUGAGAAGACAAACAACUACCUCACAAAUCUCCCAGAAGCCUCGAAAAAGAAGAGAAUAACAAGUACCACAAAAAUCCAGGUUCGUAACCUACAA
rnacentral:lncRNA from 1 species